GGAGCGGUAGUUCAGUUGGUUAGCCUCUUUGUUAGAGAAAGCAGCCUGUCACGCUGCCGAAGGCUUCGCGGGUUCGAGUCUCGUCCACUCCAC
rnacentral:tRNA from 1 species